rnacentral:rRNA from 1 species
GAAUUUGAGUUCAUUCAAGGUGCUUUUGCUGAAGGCAAACUCAACCGGGAGAUCAUGCAACGGUUGCAGACACGCAUUACUUUUGACGAAAUUACGUACCUACAAAACCAGAAUAGUUUCAUUGCUUAAAAAGAUCACACUAAGUAACAACACUUGAUAAUCUAAAAAAGGGUACUGCAACGGUUAAAUUGCAGUACCCUUUUUGUCAUUUAAAACCCAAUUAAUGCUUGGCUUUAUCGUCAGAAUCAAGUGCCAUUUCCAGUUCGUCAGCGGCAGUCUUCGUCACGCUUUCGAUCUUUGCAAGCACCCGGCCAUAUGGUUUUGGAUCCUUGUUGAUAUACCGUAAUAGUCCUGCCAUCCGCGCUGUCAUGUCAUACCAGCUUUGGUUUGGCAUACCGGAGAUUUGACCGACCCGGGCAUUUGGCAAAACAUCGAUGAGUUGCUCGACUGCAUUUUUGACAACCGGCAACGCACCGCGUACCUGAUCGGAAUCGGCGUAAGUGGCAUCAAAGAUCAGUUGCAUGAAGCGAUCAGGUUGGGAAUGUUUUGAUGGUGUUGCAGCUCGUUCGGCGCGCACACCCAUCACAACCUGCUGCAAGCCAAGUAACGUCAAUCGGACUAAUUGAUCGUGUUGCGAAACGCCCAACUCAGGCAUUGGCGUGAUCCCAAUGAGGCUCAGUUCGUCAUUACUAAGCCGCAGAGCAGCAUUGGCAACAAAGUCUGACAGUUGCAAGCCGAGAUGCUCGCGAGAAUCUGCAAACUCAAACCGAACCUUGAUUGGUCGUUCCAAGGAAAGCGUCAAGUAGCGACUCACAAUAUCAGCGCCCAUCACCAGCUGAUUACCUUCCAAUUCAUUCCGAUGAUCGAUCAUGAUCACAAUACUAUCAAAAGUAGUGUCAACAUCACGCAACACGUGAAUCGUGGCGCCGAUGUAUGGAUACAGAUAUUCCAUUGACGGGGCAAAAUCAGGAUACGUCGUUUUCUGUGAAAAGACGGUAUACAUCCCCAUGUUUUCAUGGUCGGCUGCUUUGAUCAGCUGUGUUAAGGCAUCAACCUGUUUACCGCGGGCUUUAACUUCAUCCCCUGGUUCCCAGCCAUAGGGAUAGAGCGCAUUACGGAAACCAAUGAGACUGUCGUCGUCGCCUUCUGGGAAAAUAGCCGCGAUCCCCAUGUGCAUGGUACGCGGAUCUGGACGGUGCUCUUCAAAACUUUCAUCAAUAAAGAGUUGCAACUGUUUGCCAGCUACCAACGGUGCUUCAUCAUGAGUACCAUAAUUAGUAUGCAUGUUGGUACCGGUCGUUGCCUGUUGACUGGUCGUAUCGCUGGUACUGCUGCUUGCAGUAUUAGCUGAAUUGUAUUUGCCGUUACGGUCAUUUGAAGUUGACCGAAUCACACUUGGUGUAUGCGUUUCAACGUGAUUAACCACUGCUGGUACAUGGCGAUUGUCGGUCGACGCUUUGGCUGUCAUUGACUGUGAGGCACUUGAUGCCGCCGGCUGAGUCAUUGGCUGCCAGUUUUGAGGAUCAGCGUUGGCUGCGAAUCGAUUUUGGCGCGUGCGGUUAGGCUGACGAUUACCAUUUGGCUUAUUGCGAUUGUUGCGCGUAUAGCCAUUAUCACGCCGGGCAGGUUCGUGAUCGGUUUUAUUCACAUUGCGCCGUGGGGCCGUUACUGUCCGCUUCUUGAUGUGACGCUCUGUCUGAUUGUCGUGACGCUGCUCAGUCGAUUGCUGACUUGAAGAUGAGCUAGCCGAUACAGAUGAGCGAUUAGCUUCAGUCUGACGUUUCUUAGCCUCAGCUUCUGCUUCCUGUGUCGCAACAUCCGGCUGCUGGCGAAUCGUGAAGCGAUGCUGCCGCGUCGGAAUUUUUUUCUGAACAGGCGUCUGUUUCGAUGUUUGCUCGUUGUUGUUGUGCUCUUGCUGAUUGUUGGGGCGCUGGUUUUGCCGUGACGUGACAGUUGAACGCGUCACCCGUUUAGCAGUGCGCCGUGCCGGUUUUGAACUUGCUGCUGCUUCAGUUUGUGGUGCAGUCGGCGUUUGGCUAGUUGCUUGCGACUGCUGAUUGGCUGCCCGCUUAGUUUGAACACGCGAGGCUUUUGGUGUUGUCGCUGGUUUACUUGCUGACACUUGUUCAGCCGAUUUAGUUUGUUUGGCUUUUGCAGCUGGCUGCUUCGCUGUCGCGGCUGGUUUAACCUGUUUACUUGCAGCUGGCUUCUUAGGCGCCGUCUUCUUAGCUGGCGCCUUCGUAGCGGUUUUGUGAGCUUCUGCUGGCACCUUGCCAGACUUAAUGAUGCUUUCAAUCUUAGCCGCGGUCUUGCGGCUCACGCUUUGGCCGCGCAGUGCUUUACGCAAAGUCGGCACGGAAACACCCAUCGCUGCGGAUGUCGCAUUGGUGUUCAACUUGUGUUUUGCCAUAUAGGCAUUUAAUGAUGCAGUGAAUUUGUUUUUGUUAUCCAAAAUAUUUCCUCAUAUCCUACUUUAUUGAAUGAUCCGUCACUAGUUUACCGCAAAAGCCGAUAA